GUCUGUUAGCCCUGUGUGGAUAUCAUAUGUUAGGAUGCUUCAGAUGGCAUUAACUACAUAUAUCUUUAUGUAACAGAAUCCUGUCCAUGUAGCCAAAUCCAUUGUUUCGCAUUAGAAAAAGUGUCAUGGCUUCUAUUGAAUUUUCAUGUAGUUAAUCUCUCUUCCUCUGGAACCUUUGCAUGCAGCAGACAUCAGACCCAUACUACAAAUGCUAGCUACAGACUACACUAAAAAUGUUAGGUUUUAACUAAAAGAAAAUAAAAUUGCUCAUAUGCAUUUUUAGGUGGACUUCCCUACUAACUGAUAGGUUCGUCUGAUUUAGGCUUUGUUGAGCAUGCUGCAAUUGCCAUGACUUGCAGCACCACACAACAAAGAUCAGACAGUCAACACUGGAAGCACACUGUGGAUUACUAUGGGAGAAGGACUUAGAAUCAUAGAAUCAUAGAAUUGAUCAGGUUGGAAAAGACCUCAAAGAUCACUGAGUCUAAUCACUACCUAACCACACUACCCUAACUCUCCACCAAAUCACGUCCCUGAGCACCACACCCAAACAGUUGUUAAACACAUCCAGGGAUGGUGACUCAACCACCUCCCUGGGGAGACCAUUCCAGUGCUUAACAACCCUUUCUGUAAAGAAGUGUUUCCUGAUAUCCAAAGAAAACUUACCCUGGCGCAGCUUAAGGCCAUUUCCCCUUGUCCUGUCACCUGCCACCAGUGAGAAGAGACCAACUCCGCUCUUGCUGUAAGCACCUUUCAGAUGUUGGAAGAGAGCAAUAAGAUCCCCCUCAGCCUCCUCCCCCGCAGACCAAACAGUCCCAGUUCCUUCAGUCUCUCCUUGAAGGGCAUAUUCUCCAAGCCCUUCACAAGCCUUGUUGCCCUUCCCCAGACCUGCUCCAGAACCCCCCUGUCCUCUCUGUGCUGAGGUGCCCAAAACUGAACACAGUACUCGAGGUGAGGCCUCACCAAUGCUGAGCACAGGGACAAGACCACCCCUCCCAUCCUGCUCACCACACCACUCCUGACACGAGCCAGGACACCAUUGGCCUUCUUGACCACCUGGGCACACUGCUGACUCAUAUUCAAAUGACUGUCCAUCAGUACUCCAAGGUCCCUUCCCAUCAGGCAGCUCUCCAGCCACUCCUCCCCAAGCCCGCAGGGCAGCCUGGAGCUGCCAUGACCAAAAUGCAGGACCCAACACUUGGCCCUACCGAAACCCAUACAGUUAACCGUGACCCAUUGAUCCAGUCUAUCCAGGUCCCUCUGUAGUGCCCUUCUCCCCUCAGGCAGAUCAACACUCCCUCCCAAACUGGUGUCAUCUGCAAACUUACUGAUGAG
ensembl:lncRNA